rnacentral:rRNA from 1 species
CAUCCUUGAAAGAGUGCGUAAUAGCUCACUGGUCGAGUGGUCGUGCGCCGACAAUUCAGCGGGGCUCAAGCGCGCCGCCGAGGCCGCGGACCCGCCCCCCCUUCUGUCACUGUAUGUGUGUGGGGGGUGUGGGUGGUAGGGGAGCGUCCUGCGUGGGGUGAAGCCCGGGGGUGACCGUGGGUGGACUGCGUGGGAGUGAGGAUGCAGGCAUGAGUAGCGAUGACUGGGGUGGGAGUCCCCAGCGCCGAGAGACCAAGGGUUCCAGGGGCAGGUUCGUCCUCCCUGGGUGAGUCGGGACCUAAGGCGAGGCCGACAGGCGUAGUCGAUGGAUGACGGGUUGAUAUUCCCGUACCGGCGAAGCACCGACCAUGCUGACGCGCGGGUGCUAACCCACGCCCCUGCUGCCACGACAAGCCGCGGUCGUCUCCUUCGGGGGGUGGUCGUGGUUGUGGCGGCGGGUGGUCUGGGGGUCCUCCGUGCUGGUAGGCAAGCGUGUUAACAGGGGUGACGCACAGUGGUAGCCCGGCGGGCCUGAUGGCUUGGCCCGUUCAAGCGCGCAGCCCGGUCCCCAGGCAAAUCCGGGGACCAGCCCCCCCCACCCGGGGGGCGCGGGUGAGGCGUGAUGGUGACCCCGCCCACGCGGCGGGGGAUAACAGGGUGAUCCUGGGGUGCCGAGAAAAGCCUCGACGCGAUGGUGACGGCCGCCCGUACCCCACACCGACACAGGUGGUCCGGCAGAGUAUGCCUAGGCGAGCGAGUGAACCGUGGUGAAGGAACUCGGCAAAUUGCCCCCGUAACUUCGGGAGAAGGGGGGCCCGGGCCCUGAAGCAGCAGGCCUGCUAGGGGCGAGGGCCGCAGAGAGCAGGGGGGAGCGACUGUUUACUAAAAACACAGGUCCGUGCGAAGCCGCAAGGCGAUGUAUACGGACUGACGCCUGCCCGGUGCUGGAAGGUUAAGAGGAUCCCUCAACCCCCCGCGCGGGGGUGAAGGGGUGAGUUCAAGCCCCAGUAAACGGCGGUGGUAACUAUAACCAUCCUAAGGUAGCGAAAUUCCUUGUCGGGUAAGUUCCGACCUGCACGAAUGGCGUAACGACUUCCCCGCUGUCUCCACCACGGGCUCGGCGAAAUUGCACUACGAGUAAAGAUGCUCGUUACGCGCAGAAGGACGGAAAGACCCCGGGACCUUUACUACAACUUGGUAUUGGCGUCCGCCACGGCUUGUGCAGGAUAGGUGGGAGACCACGACCCCGAUCGCGCCAGCGACGGGCGAGUCACUGUUGAGAUACCACUCUGGCCGCGGCGUGCGCCUGAACCUCGGCCCGUGACCCGGGCCAGGGACAGUGCCUGGCGGGUAGUUUAACUGGGGCGGUUGCCUCCCAAAGAGUAACGGAGGCGCUCAAAGGUCCCCUCAGCCUGGUCGGCAACCAGGUGGCGAGUGCAAGUGCACAAGGGGGCUUGACUGCGAGACCGACGGGUCGGGCAGGUGCGAAAGCAGGAACUAGUGAUCCGGCGAUCCCGCGUGGGCGGGUCGUCGCUCAACGGAUAAAAGGUACCCCGGGGAUAACAGGCUGAUCCUGCCC